UCCUUCGGGAGNNCAUUAUAUGGCGAACGGGUGAGUAACACGUGGGCAAUCUGCCCUUCACUCUGGGACAAGCCCUGGAAACGGGGUCUAAUACCGGAUACGACACGGGGUCGCAUGACCUCCGUGUGGAAAGCUCCGGCGGUGAAGGAUGAGCCCGCGGCCUAUCAGCUUGUUGGUGGGGUGAUGGCCUACCAAGGCGACGACGGGUAGCCGGCCUGAGAGGGCGACCGGCCACACUGGGACUGAGACACGGCCCAGACUCCUACGGGAGGCAGCAGUGGGGAAUAUUGCACAAUGGGCGAAAGCCUGAUGCAGCGACGCCGCGUGAGGGAUGACGGCCUUCGGGUUGUAAACCUCUUUCAGCAGGGAAGAAGCGAAAGUGACGGUACCUGCAGAAGAAGCGCCGGCUAACUACGUGCCAGCAGCCGCGGUAAUACGUAGGGCGCAAGCGUUGUCCGGAAUUAUUGGGCGUAAAGAGCUCGUAGGCGGCUUGUCACGUCGGAUGUGAAAGCCCGGGGCUUAACCCCGGGUCUGCAU
rnacentral:rRNA from 1 species